ensembl:lncRNA
AAUUAUGGAUGAGCAGAGGCUGCUGUCCCCCUCCUGUUCACCCAGUCACCCAGUGGUGAUCCUUGUAUGCGCUGUAGUAUGAGGAAGAGGGGGAGAGCGAACAUUGCUUGAGGAACCAGCCUCUCGUUUUCUCUUUCUCUCACUGCCUCCCUGCAUGAGGGCGCCAACUAGUAUUUGCAGUGAAUCUUCAGUACAACCUGCAAAUGGGGAUGAAAAGCUAUUCAGACUGACAGUCAAAGAAAAGGCAGAGGGAAAAAAAAGCAAAGUGGGCAGCUUUCUGAAAGCUUUGUUGUCGGAAGAUACAAAAAGAGUGACUAUAUAAGAACCAAAGAGAUCAGAAUCAGCACUGUUUGGGAAGCAUGUAUAAUUCGGUAUUCUUCAUCAUCCUGUCAUGGGUGUUUGCUGUGCUUGUGUUCCCAGACCUGCACCUUCUCAUCCAGCAUCUACGAUGCGCCAGACUGCGGCCCUUCACCUCCUCCGCUCUGCUCUUCAGGUCUGAAAACUCUCCGAUUUCACUUUUUAUUUACUCAGAUUAAUUCUGGACUCUCUGCUCAGUUGGCUACGCUGCACAGCCAGCAAUCUGCUUGGUUCUGCAUGCACACUCCCACUCUGAUCCUCUAUUGUGCCAAAAAGUUGAAGUUUGCUAAACAAUGAUAUUUUGGGGUGUUUUAUACAUUUAUUAUAUUUGCUUACAUUUGUUAAAAUAGGUGUAGCUAGGCAAGCCGGCAUGCCUCAAUAAGUUUUUGUAUUAAUUUUUAGAGGGUCAAAACAGCUCUCUUGGUGGUUCUAGUGUUCAAUUCAAUUCAGUUUUAUUUAUAUAGUGCCAAAUCACAACAAAAGUCGCCUCAAGGCGCUUCAUAGGGUACAGAGAAAAACCCAACAAUCAUAUGACCCCCUAUGAGCAAGCACUUUGGCGACAGUGGGAAGGAAAAACUCUGUCCUUUAACAGGAAGAAACCUCCGGCAGAACCAGGCUCAGGGAGGGGCGGCCAUCUGCUGCGACUGGUUGGGGCGAAAGAAGGAAAACAGGAUGAAAGACAUGCUGUGGAAGAGAGACAGAGGUUAAUAACAGAUAUGAUUCGAUGCAGAGAGGUCUAUUAACACAUACUGAGUGAGAAAGGUGACUGGAAAGGAAAAACUCAAUGCAUCAUGGGAAUCCACGGCAGCCUACGUCUAUUGCAGCAUAACUAAGGGAGGAUUCAGGGUCACCUGGUCCAGCCCUAACUAUAUGCUUUAGCAAAAAGGAAAGUUUUAAGCCUAAUCUUGAAAGUAGAGAUAGUGUCUGUCUCCCGAAUCCAAACUGGAAGCUGGUUCCACAGAAGAGGGGCCUGAAAACUGAAGGCUCUCCCUCCCAUUCUACUUUUAAAUACUCUAGGAACAACAAGUAGGCCUGCAGAGCGAGAGCGAAGUGCUGUAAUAGGGUGAUAUGGUACUACAAGGUCAUUAAGAUAAGAUGGGGCCUGAUUAUUUAAGACCUUGUAUGUGAGGAGCAGGAUUUUGAAUUCAAUUCUGGAUUUAACAGGAAGCCAAUGAAGGGAAGCCAAAACAGGAGAAAUAUGCUCUCUCUUUCUAGUCCCUGUCAGUACUCUUGCUGCAGCAUUUUGGAUCAGCUGAAGGCUUUUCAGCGAGUUUUUAGGACAUCCUGAUAAUAAUGAAUUCCAGUAGUCCAGCCUGGAAGUAAUAAAUGCAUGAACUAGUUUUUCAGCGUCACUAAGAGACA